UACGAAGGGUGCAAACGUUGCUCGGAAUUAUUGGGCGUAAAGCGCACGUAGGCGGUAUUGCAAGUCGGAUGUGAAAUCCCUCGGCUUAACCAAGGAAGUGCAUUGGUGACUGGCAGGCUAGAGUAUGGCAGAGGGGGGUAGAAUUCACGUGUAGCAGUGAAAUGCGUAGAGAUGUGGAGGAAUACCGAUGCGAAGGCAGCCCCCUGGGCCAAUACUGACGCUCAUGCACGAAAGCGUGGGGGAGCAAACAGG
rnacentral:rRNA from 1 species